rnacentral:rRNA from 1 species
CAAUAGUGUAUAUUAAAGUUGUUGCAGUUAAAAAGCUCGUAGUUGAAUUUCUGUCAGGAGUGACCGGGCCUUUGGAUGAACUUCCAUUGUUUUUUGCUCUGUUUGUCAUCUCUAGACAUCCUGAAAUAUUUUUUAAAAAUAUUUCUCUUUUACUGUUAGCAAAAUAGAGUGUUCCAAGCAAAGCGUAGUUUUGAAUACAUUAGAAUGGAAUAAUAAGAUAGGACUUUGGUGCUAUUUUGUUGGUUUGCACACCAAGGUAAUGAUUAAUAGGGACAGUUGGGGGUAUUCGUAUUUAAUUGUCAGAGGUGAAAUUCUUGGAUUUAUGAAAGACGAACUACUGCGAAAGCAUUUACCAAGGAUGUUUUCAUUAA